rnacentral:ncRNA from 28 species
UGACUUUCAAGAGCCCACGUUGCACAAAGCUCGCAUUGGUUGGUCAAGGGAAGUCGGUUAAAAGCCGACGCGGUCCCGCCGCCGUAAGUGGGGACGAAACCGGCAAAUAGCCACUGGGGGCGAAAGCCCACGGGAAGGUGCCGGAGGUAGAUCGAUCCACGAGCCGGAAGACCUGGCGCAACCAGAUGGCAAGAA